rnacentral:rRNA from 1 species
CUCAGAAACUUAAAGGAAGUUGACGGGGACCCGCGACAAGCGGUGGAGCAUGUGGUUUAAUUCGACGAUACGCGAAGAACCUUACCUGGCCUUGACAUACUAAAAAGCUUUAAGAGAUUAGAGUGUGCUAGCUUGCUAGAAUUUAGAUACAGGUGCUGCACGGCUGUCGUCAGCUCGUGUCGUGAGAUGUUGGGUUAAGUCCCGCAACGAGCGCAACCUCGUGUUUAGUUGCUAACAGUUCGGCUGAGAACUCUAAACAGACUGCCUACGCAAGUAGGAGGAAGGUGAGGACGACGUCAAGUCAUCAUGGCCCUUACGGCCAGGGCUACACACGUGCUACAAUGGGGUAUACAAAGAGCAGCGAUACGGUGACGUGGAGCAAAUCUAGAAAAUGCCUCUCAGUUCGGAUUGUAGUCUGCAACUCGACUACAUGAAGUUGGAAUCGCUAGUAAUCGUAGAUCAGCAAUGCUACGGUGAAUACGUUCCCGGGUCUU